GAUGAACGCUGGCGGCGUGCUUAACACAUGCAAGUCGAACGAAGCAUUUGCGUCAGAUUUUUUCGGAAUGAAGUUGCUUAUGACUGAGUGGCGGACGGGUGAGUAACGCGUGGGUAACCUGCCUUGUACUGGGGGAUAGCAGCUGGAAACGGCUGGUAAUACCGCAUAAGCGCACAAUGUUGCAUGACAUGGUGUGAAAAACUCCGGUGGUAUAAGAUGGACCCGCGUCUGAUUAGCUAGUUGGUGAGAUAACAGCCCACCAAGGCGACGAUCAGUAGCCGACCUGAGAGGGUGACCGGCCACAUUGGGACUGAGACACGGCCCAGACUCCUACGGGAGGCAGCAGUGGGGAAUAUUGCACAAUGGAGGAAACUCUGAUGCAGCGACGCCGCGUGAGUGAAGAAGUAAUUCGUUAUGUAAAGCUCUAUCAGCAGGGAAGAUAGUGACGGUACCUGACUAAGAAGCUCCGGCUAAAUACGUG
rnacentral:rRNA from 1 species